UACAAAAGAUUUUUUAAUUGUCUAUAUUGUACUAACGAUAAAUGAAAACCAAUAGUGUUUGUUAUCUAGAAUAGAUUUGCCUUGAAGUAACUAAAAUUCCCCGAUAAUGAUAGAGCGCCGAAUUAUUUUCUUGUCAAUGUUAUCAGUUAGGUAUCUGGCGUCAUUAUGAAUGUUGUACACAAUAGUGACUGUAGAUUUUAUUGUCCAUUUAUAAACAGAGCAGUAAUGCUGUGGACCGAUCUGGUGAGAUAAGUGAACGGGUCAGCCAAUUUUGGCGGUUCAAGAGGUGAGCGAUUAGCGAAAACUACUGAAACCACUUCCAAGACGGUAACGGUAAAACGGGGAGAAUAGAGACAUUUUCGGGAUGAAAAGAAAUAAUUUAAUUUUUAAGUUUUGGACGUACACGAGAUGGUAUUAAAUACUUAUAUGAAGAUUCUCAUUCAGGGAAGGUUUGAAGAUUGAUCAGUAAAACAAAUACAACCAGAUCAGCAUCUUAUCGCGUACGAAUUGUGGCAGCCGCAGUUUGCAGUCCAAGGUUAAUGCAGAAAUCGGCGCGGGUGCAGGCCACUGUAGCGUCACGAGUUACGAAACCCACGCGUCUUGUCAAGACUAACCGGCCGCCGGCAAAUUAAUUGCUAACGAACGGUUCAAAUGAUGAAACAUUAUGUUUUAGCUAAACGUUAAUUAGCUUUUGAGUUUUACCGCUAACAGAUGUAAAAGCAACUUAAUAAACUAUUCAAUCAUGAUCAACAUUAAAAUUCAGAUAGUGAAUUAGUAAUUCCUUGACGACUAAUAAAUUAGUUGAGAGUUAUUACACAUUACUUAAUAAAUGCCAUAUAAACCUC